AGUUUGAUCCUGGCUCAGGACGAACGCUGGCGGCGUGCCUAAUACAUGCAAGUUGAGCGCUGAAAGGUUGGUACUUGUACCGACUGGAUGAGCAGCGAACGGGUGAGUAACGCGUGGGGAAUCUGCCUUUGAGCGGGGGACAACAUUUGGAAACGAAUGCUAAUACCGCAUAACAACUUUAAACACAAGUUUUAAGUUUGAAAGAUGCAAUUGCAUCACUCAAAGAUGAUCCCGCGUUGUAUUAGCUAGUUGGUGAGGUAAAGGCUCACCAAGGCGAUGAUACAUAGCCGACCUGAGAGGGUGAUCGGCCACAUUGGGACUGAGACACGGCCCAAACUCCUACGGGAGGCAGCAGUAGGGAAUCUUCGGCAAUGGACGAAAGUCUGACCGAGCAACGCCGCGUGAGUGAAGAAGGUUUUCGGAUCGUAAAACUCUGUUGGUAGAGAAGAACGUUGGUGAGAGUGGAAAGCUCACCAAGUGACGGUAACUACCCAGAAAGGGACGGCUAACUACGUGCCAGCAGCCGCGGUAAUACGUAGGUCCCGAGCGUUGUCCGGAUUUAUUGGGCGUAAAGCGAGCGCAGGUGGUUUAUUAAGUCUGGUGUAAAAGGCAGUGGCUCAACCAUUGUAUGCAUUGGAAACUGCUAGACUUGAGUGCAGGAGAGGAGAGUGGAAUUCCAUGUGUAGCGGUGAAAUGCGUAGAUAUAUGGAGGAACACCGGUGGCGAAAGCGGCUAUAUGGCCUGUUACUGACGGGGAGGCUCGAAAGCGUGGGGAGCAAACAGGAUUAGAUACCCUGGUAGUCCACUCCGUAAACGACGAGUGCUAGAGGUAGGGAGCUAUAAGUUCUCUGUAUCGCAGCUAACGCAAUAAGCA
rnacentral:rRNA from 1 species